UGGGGUUGUGGGUCAGUGGUAGAGCACUCACCUAACACAUGUGAGGGCCUGGAUUCGAUCCUCAGCACCACAA
rnacentral:tRNA from 1 species